CGGCACGCUUAAACAUGCAAGUCGAACGCAGUAGCAAUACUGAGUGGCAGACGGGUGAGUAUAAUGUGGGAAUCUGCCUUUUGGUUCGGAAUAACUCGGGGAAACUUGAGCUAAUACCGGAUAAGCCCUUACGGGGAAAGAUUUAUCGCCGAAAGAUGAGCCCGCACUUGAUUAGCUUGUUGGUGAGGUAAAAGCUCACCAAGGCAACAAUCAAUAGCUGUUCUUAGAGGAAGACCAGCCACAUUGGGACUGAGACACGGCCCAGACUCCUACGGGAGGCAGCAGUGGGGAAUCUUGCACAAUGGGGGAAACCCUGAUGCAGCGAUGCCGCGUGAGUGAAGAAGGCCUUUGGGUUGUAAAACUCUUUCGUCGGGGAAGAAAAUGACUGUACCCGAAUAAGAAGGUCCGGCUAA
rnacentral:rRNA from 1 species